GAACGGGUGAGUAACACGUGGGCAAUCUGCCCUGCACUCUGGGACAAGCCCUGGAAACGGGGUCUAAUACCGGAUAUGACUGUCCAUCGCAUGGUGGAUGGUGUAAAGCUCCGGCGGUGCAGGAUGAGCCCGCGGCCUAUCAGCUUGUUGGUGAGGUAGUGGCUCACCAAGGCGACGACGGGUAGCCGGCCUGAGAGGGCGACCGGCCACACUGGGACUGAGACACGGCCCAGACUCCUACGGGAGGCAGCAGUGGGGAAUAUUGCACAAUGGGCGAAAGCCUGAUGCAGCGACGCCGCGUGAGGGAUGACGGCCUUCGGGUUGUAAACUCUCUUUCAGCAGGGAAGAAGCGAAAGUGACGGUACCUGCAGAAGAAGCGCCGGCUAACUACGUGCCAGCAGCCGCGGGUAAUACGUAGGGCGCAAGCGUUGUCCGGAAUUAUUGGGCGUAAAGAGCUCGUAGGCGGCUUGUCACGUCGGUUGUGAAAGCCCGGGGCUUAACCCCGGGUCUGCAGUCGAUACGGGCAGGCUAGAGUUCGGUAGGGGAGAUCGGAAUUCCUGGUGUAGCGGUGAAAUGCGCAGAUAUCAGGAGGAACACCGGUGGCGAAGGCGGAUCUCUGGGCCGAUACUGACGCUGAGGAGCGAAAGCGUGGGGAGCGAACAGGAUUAGAUACCCUGGUAGUCCACGCCGUAAACGGUGGGCACUAGGUGUGGGCAACAUUCCACGUUGUCCGUGCCGCAGCUAACGCAUUAAGUGCCCCGCCUGGGGAGUACGGCCGCAAGGCUAAAACUCAAAGGAAUUGACGGGGGCCCGCACAAGCGGCGGAGCAUGUGGCUUAAUUCGACGCAACGCGAAGAACCUUACCAAGGCUUGACAUACACCGGAAACGUCUGGAGACAGGCGCCCCCUUGUGGUCGGUGUACAGGUGGUGCAUGGCUGUCGUCAGCUCCGUGUCGUGAGAUGUUGGGUUAAGUCCCGCAACGAGCGCAACCCUUGUCCCGUGUUGCCAGCAGGCCCUUGUGGUGCUGGGGACUCACGGGAGACCGCCGGGGUCAACUCGGAGGAAGGUGGGGACGACGUCAAGUCAUCAUGCCCCUUAUGUCUUGGGCUGCACACGUGCUACAAUGGCCGGUACAAUGAGCUGCGAUACCGCGAGGUGGAGCGAAUCUCAAAAAGCCGGUCUCAGUUCGGAUUGGGGUCUGCAACUCGACCCCAUGAAGUCGGAGUCGCUAGUAAUCGCAGAUCAGCAUUCCUGCGGUGAAUACGUUCCCGGGC
rnacentral:rRNA from 1 species